GGAAAACACAAUGGAAACACUUCUAAAAGUGUGUAGCCUGUAGCAAAGAAAACAGUUAUUCGUUAGGGUGGACAGUGAGUGAAGGGACAAGAGUUGGAGGGCGUCUAUCCAGAUCAUCUCUCUUCACAGGUCUUUAGCCUAGAUGUCACUUCAUCCAGGAACCUUUUCGUGACACCUUAAGUAAAUAUUAAGAGCUCCUUGGGCUGACCCGUUGGUGCAGCGGUUAAGUUUGCACGUUCCGCUUCUCGGCGGCCCAGGGUUCACCGGUUCGGAUCCCGGGUGCGGACAUGGAACCACUUGGCACGUCAUGCAGCGGGCAAAGAAGAAAAUUACAUUUGGUAGUCUCUCUUGCCAUUAGAUUGGCUUCUAAUCACUUUCAAGUCUGUCCAUAAAUCAUGCUAUGUGAUACUCCAUGGGCUGGCUUUACCUACUGGCCUGCAGAAUACAGAGGAGCCAUUGGCCGACUCUGAGGAGGUCUAUGGAAUGGGGAAGCCACACGACAGAAAAAGCCUGGAUUAUUGCUUGAAAGUCAUUACUUGCAAGACAGCUGCCCAAGAUAGCUGCUUGACCUGCAUUGGCCUG
rnacentral:lncRNA from 1 species